CCUGACUGCUAUCGGAUUGAUACUAAGCCAUGCGAGUCAUUGUAGCAAUACAAGGCAGACGGCUCAGUAACGCGUAGUCAAUCUACCCUAUGGACGGGAAUAACCUCGGGAAACUGAGAAUAAUGCCCGAUAGAACAUUAUGCCUGGAAUGGUUUAUGUUUCAAAUGAUUUAUCGCCAUGGGAUGGGACUGCGGCCUAUCAGUUUGUUGGUGAGGUAAUGGCCCACCAAGACUAUUACAGGUACGGGCUCUGAGAGGAGUAGCCCGGAGAUGGGUACUGAGACACGGACCCAGGCCCUAUGGGGCGCAGCAGGCGAGAAAACUUUGCAAUGUGCGAAAGCACGACAAGGUUAAUCCGAGUGGUUUCUGCUAAAGAAACCUUUUGUCAGUCCUAGAAACACUAACGAAUAAGGGGUGGGCAAGUUCUGGUGUCAGCCGCCGCGGUAAAACCAGCACCUCAAGUGGUCAGGAUGAUUAUUGGGCCUAAAGCAUCCGUAGCUCGUUUUGUAAGUUUUCGGUUAAAUCCAUGCGCUUAACGUAUGGGCUGCCGGGAAUACUGCAUAACAAGGAAGUGGGAGAGGUAGACGGUACUCGGGAGGAAGGGGUAAAAUCCUUUGAUCUCUUGAUGACCACCUGUGGCGAAGGCGGUCUACCAGAACACGUUCGACGGUGAGGGAUGAAAGCUGGGGGAGCAAACCGGAUUAGAUACCCGGGUAGUCCCAGCUGUAAACUAUGCAAACUCAGUGAUGCAUUGGCUUAUGGCCAAUGCAGUGCUGCAGGGAAGCCGUUAAGUUUGCCGCCUGGGAAGUACGUACGCAAGUAUGAAACUUAAAGGAAUU
rnacentral:rRNA from 1 species